GAUUGGGUCCGGGACAAAGUAUGACUUCUAAUCACCACCUUGGCCUGUUCAACUCAGGCCCCAAUCU
rnacentral:tRNA from 1 species